AGGCAAAUCUUUUGUCUCCGUUUUAAAAAGCGAUGGCAAUGGAGGUGUUGAGUUGCUCAAAAAUUAAAUCUUCUGCUUAGGGGAGGCUGUGCUUCCCUCCCUGAAGCUGAUCUAGUAGUCUUGAGGACAUA
rfam:Brachypodium distachyon strain Bd21 chromosome 3, whole genome shotgun sequence.